UUGCAGCGAUGAGGUCAACUUUGGAAUCGAUCAAGUCGGCCUUGAAGAAAAGGUCAAAUACCUCUGAGGGGGAGUGCUAAUCUAAGAAGUAGAAGAAGUUCCAGCUGAUGACUUCUCUGGUCCCCAUGCCAUCAGUAGGGAUGUUGAGAGUAGAUCCCUUGGAGAUCGACAAUGAGCCCCAUCAUGCUGUUAAGGUCAGAUAUCCUCUGACCACUCCAGAGUCAAUCCAGGCUCUGACUCCUCCACUUGCUAAGC
rnacentral:lncRNA from 1 species